rnacentral:lncRNA from 1 species
GUGCGCACCGAGCGGCAGUGACUUCGCCGCUGCUGUAGUUCCCCGGCUGGAUGCGGUGACUGGUGCCAGUGCUCAGGCGCCCGCUGCCCUUGACCUCCCGCCCCGCGAGCCCUAACUCAGCGCAGGAGGACCGGCUGCCGCCGCCGCCGCCGCCAGAGCCAAGCACAGUGGGAACUUUCAGAAAGCACUGGUUGAAGGAACACUGGAAUCCCUGGGACUUACUGCGUAGCAUGUAGUAGUUGCUCCUGUAGAAAAGUUUCACCUUAUGAAGAAUAGCAGGUAAAAUACAAGCCUGGACCACUUCCCGUGUGGUAUGCAGGGAACGGUUGAUGGGGCAAAGGGCCUUGGGCUAUAUAGCCCUAGGAAUUUCAGAGAUCCUGAUGAUGGCUCUGGGAUCCUCCGUCUCCUGGAUCCUGCAUUUUUCUCUGCAGGCUCUGAUGGUGGUGUCUGGUAGAAGGUUACUCACAGCUCUGCUGCAGGCUCAGAAGUGGCCCUUUCAACCCUCCAGAGACAUGAGACUAGUGCAGUUCUGGGCACCCCACCUGGUGGGGCCUCACUUGGGCCUGGAGACAGGGAAUGGUAGAGGGAUUAUCAACCUCAAUGCCUUUGACCCCACACUCCCAAAGACAAUGACGCAGUUCCUAGAGCAGGGAGAGGCCACCCUCUCAGUGGCAAGAAGGUAAGUAAGUGGGCAGCAUCGCCCUGACACAGCUGCCCUGGUCCCCCCACAUCCUCCCCGCUCUGGGAAACAGCACCAGCAGGUAGCUCUUUUGCAAGGGAGCAGAGUAACC